rnacentral:lncRNA from 1 species
GGUGGAGAUGGAGGAGGAUGAUUGUAGCGGAGGUUUGGGUGGCUUGAAAUAGGGGGUUUGAGCGUUGCCGAAACAGUGGAGGCUCCCCCGCGUUUUGAGGUUGAGCCGAGGUAGAGAAAGAAGUAUGAAUGGGGCUGAAGGAGGUUGAAGCAGCGACCAAGAUGGGGCUGGUGAAGAUGGAGGUGGAGAUUGUGUUGUUAGAGAAAUAAUGGAGGUGGAGAUGGAGGUGGUGGUUAUGGAGGAGGCAGACG